rnacentral:rRNA from 1 species
GAUGAACGCUGGCGGCGUGCUUAACACAUGCAAGUCGAGCGAUGAAGUUUCUUCGGGAAACGGAUUAGCGGCGGACGGGUGAGUAACACGUGGGUAACCUGCCUCAUAGAGUGGAAUAGCCUUUCGAAAGGAAGAUUAAUACCGCAUAAUGUUUCGAGAUGGCAUCAUCAUGAAACCAAAGGAGCAAUCCGCUAUGAGAUGGACCCGCGGCGCAUUAGCUAGUUGGUAGGGUAAAGGCCUACCAAGGCGACGAUGCGUAGCCGACCUGAGAGGGUGAUCGGCCACAUUGGGACUGAGACACGGCCCAGACUCCUACGGGAGGCAGCAGUGGGGAAUAUUGCACAAUGGGGGAAACCCUGAUGCAGCAACGCCGCGUGAGUGAUGACGGUCUUCGGAUUGUAAAACUCUGUCUUUGGGGACGAUAAUGACGGUACCCAAGGAGGAAGCCACGGCUAACUACGUGCCAGCAGCCGCGGUAAUACGUAGGUGGCAAGCGUUGUCCGGAUUUACUGGGCGUAAAGGGAGCGUAGGCGGAUUUUUAAGUGGGAUGUGAAAUACUCGGGCUCAACCUGAGUGCUGCAUUCCAAACUGGAGAUCUAGAGUGCAGGAGGGGAGAGUGGAAUUCCUAGUGUAGCGGUGAAAUGCGUAGAGAUUAGGAAGAACACCAGUGGCGAAGGCGACUCUCUGGACUGUAACUGCGCUGAGGCUCGAAAGCGUGGGGAGCAAACAGG